UUUCCGUAGGUGAACCUGCGGAAGGAUCAUUACCGAGUGAGGGCCCUCUGGGUCCAACCUCCCACCCGUGUUUAUCGUACCUUGUUGCUUCGGCGGGCCCGCAACUUGUAGCCGCCGGGGGGCACUUGCCCCCGGGCCUGCGCCCGCCGAAGACACCAUUGAACGCUGUAUGAAGAUUGCAGUCUGAGCUUAUUAGCUAAAUUGGUUAAAACUUUCAACAACGGAUCUCUUGGUUCCG
rnacentral:misc_RNA from 1 species